rnacentral:rRNA from 1 species
UUCGGUGACUAUAGCAUCGGGGUUCCACCUCUUCCCAUUCCGAACAGAGAAGUUAAGCCCGAUCACGCCGAUGGUACUGCGUAACAGUGGGAGAGUAGGUAGUCGCCGUUU